CAACGUUUGACAUCCCUAUCGCGGAUCGUGGAGACACUUUCCUUCAGUUCGGCUGGACAGGUGACGGGUGCUGCAUGGCUGUCGUCAGCUCGUGUCGUGAGAUGUUGGGUUAAGUCCCGCAACGAGCGCAACCCUCGCCUUUAGUUGCCAGCAUUUAGUUGGGUACUCUAAAGGAACCGCCGGUGAUAAGCCGGAGGAAGGUGGGGAUGACGUCAAGUCCUCAUGGCCCUUACGCGUUGGGCUACACACGUGCUACAAUGGCGACUACAGUGGGCAGCCACCUCGCGAGAGGGAGCUAAUCUCCAAAAGUCGUCUCAGUUCGGAUCGUUCUCUGCAACUCGAGAGCGUGAAGGCGGAAUCGCUAGUAAUCGCGGAUCAGCAUGCCGCGGUGAAUA
rnacentral:rRNA from 1 species